rnacentral:lncRNA from 1 species
UGCACUUCUCUCUUUAUUUUUUUUCAUCUCCUGACAUUCAGCAAUGCUUCUAUCCUUUUCGGCCAUGAGAUCGGUGCAGUAUCCUUUCAACAAAUUGUAGUUACUAUUAAUCUGCUUAUAUUUAUCGAGGAGUGUAUUAUAGCCUAAAGAAACUUAAGAAUACAAAGUUCUAGAAAAACUUCUUAUCCUCUAAAUUAUAGUCCCUAACCUUAAAAUCAUACCCUUCACGUUUCUUCCUAACUUCGCGAUGUAUAGCAUCUUCUUCACUCUUGUCGACAUCUGUAGACGCUGCACACCCCCUCCCCCCCUACUUCCACAUCGAUACAAACACUAACCAAUCCAUCAUUUUCAACUAGAAAACCAUACCUAGACGCCGGCUUAGGUAGACAUUUGCAAAUAUUUCAGAGCAAUUCACGAAACC